GACGAACGCUGGCGGCGUGCCUAAUACAUGCCAGUCGAGCGGACUUUCAAGAAGCUUGCUUUUUGAAAGUUAGCGGCGGACGGGUGAGUAACACGUGGGCAACCUGCCUGCAAGACGGGGAUAACUCCGGGAAACCGGGGCUAAUACCGGAUAAUAUCUUCCUUCGCAUGAAGGAAGGUUGAAAGGCGGCGCAAGCUGCCGCUUGCAGAUGGGCCCGCGGCGCAUUAGCUAGUUGGUGAGGUAACGGCUCACCAAGGCGACGAUGCGUAGCCGACCUGAGAGGGUGAUCGGCCACACUGGGACUGAGACACGGCCCAGACUCCUACGGGAGGCAGCAGUAGGGAAUCUUCCGCAAUGGACGAAAGUCUGACGGAGCAACGCCGCGUGAGCGAAGAAGGUCUUCGGAUCGUAAAGCUCUGUUGUCAGGGAAGAACAAGUACCGUUCGAACAGGGCGGUACCUUGACGGUACCUGACCAGAAAGCCACGGCUAACUACGUG
rnacentral:rRNA from 1 species